rnacentral:rRNA from 1 species
GACGAACGCUGGCGGCGUGCUUAACACAUGCAAGUCGACCGGAAAGGCCCUGCUUGCAGGGUACUCGAGUGGCGAACGGGUGAGUAACACGUGGGUGAUCUGCCCUGCACUUCGGGAUAAGCCUGGGAAACUGGGUCUAAUACCGGAUAGGAGCCAUUUUUAGUGUGAUGGUUGGAAAGUUUUUUCGGUGUAGGAUGAGCUCGCGGCCUAUCAGCUUGUUGGUGGGGUAAUGGCCUACCAAGGCGGCGACGGGUAGCCGGCCUGAGAGGGUGGACGGCCACAUUGGGACUGAGAUACGGCCCAGACUCCUACGGGAGGCAGCAGUGGGGAAUAUUGCACAAUGGGCGCAAGCCGGAUGCAGCGACGCCGCGUGGGGGAUGACGGCCUUCGGGUUGUAAACUCCUUUCGCUAGGGACGAAGCUUUUUGUGACGGUACCUAGAUAAGAAGCACCGGCUAACUACGUG